rnacentral:rRNA from 1 species
UACGAAGGGGGCUAGCGUUGCUCGGAAUCACUGGGCGUAAAGCGCACGUAGGCGGCUUUUUAAGUCAGGGGUGAAAUCCUGGAGCUCAACUCCAGAACUGCCUUUGAUACUGGCAAUCUCGAGUCCGGGAGAGGUGAGUGGAACUGCGAGUGUAGAGGUGAAAUUCGUAGAUAUUCGCAAGAACACCAGUGGCGAAGGCGGCUCACUGGCCCGGUACUGACGCUGAGGUGCGAAAGCGUGGGGAGCAAACGGG